rnacentral:lncRNA from 1 species
CUUGACUUAUAUUAUGCAAAGUUUCGCUAAUCUAUUCUAGUGUUCAAGAUAGUAUGCAAUGUGAUAUGAUUUUAUGAUUGAUUGUUGGUGUUAAAUGUCACUCUCAGCACUAUUGGCUAUAUAUCGUGGCGGUCAAUUUUUAUUGGUGGAGAAAACCAGAGAGAACUCCGACCAUCGGCAGGAAAACAAUAUGUUUAAAAUGCUAAUGCAUCCGGCACUCUGAAUGUUUGAAGUUUGAUUUCCUGUCAAUAUAGCUCUUCCAUUGUUAUAUAUAUACAGGGUAGGAAACCCACUCGACAUGCAGAGUUUCAAACUCACCAAAACAAAAAAUAAUGUUCAAAGCGAUCUGUUAAACAUAUAUAACCUUUUUCGUUUAACAUGCUUUUGACGCAAACUCGGCAUUCACACCCAAUGAAGAACUCGGGUCAAAACAUAUUUUUCCAAACAAAUAUUGAUGUAAAAAAUUCGAAUUAAAAUGUUAUGUCUACAAAUAAGCUAUGUUACUUUUGUUUGCUUUCAUAUGCUACGCUUUCUUUAAAUUACAUUUCAAAUUGGCCAUUUUUUUGCGGCCGACUUUUUACGAUACGCCAUGACCUACGAAU